rnacentral:lncRNA from 1 species
UUCCCAGGCAAGUCUUCCGUGAUGUCCACAAUGACUGUCCAACCCACUAACAUGCCCCAGCCUGGGAGCGAUGCCCCCGCUGUGCCACAUGAACACCUCCCGUGGUGUUCCUCACACUCUGUCACAAUCACCUGGCUGUCUCCCUGAGCAGUGUAUAAGCUCCGUGAAGGUGGAGGCUGGGUCACAGUCACCACUGUCCCCAGAACUGGCGGCUGUGGUUGGAACGGUGGCUGUGGUGACUGGUCCCAUUCAGGCUGCCUGGAGAUGUGCACCGAGUCAAGCUGAGUCCACAUGAAGAUGGGUGCUGGGAGGUCCUGAUGAGCAAAUACCUUCCUGGCCUCGCUGGCUUCACCCAAGUCCCAGCCUUCCAGGGAUGGAGCUGUUUGCAAAACCACCCAGGCUCAUCAAGGCCUCCAGUUCAGAAACCAUCCAGGGUCGCAGUGCUUCCUAUGAGUGAAAAUCAACUCCCAGGCCACCAGCCACUCAGAUCCCCAGCCUCUGCUGGCCAGCAGAGCAGGCAGAAUGUGGCCUCAAUACUAACAGGACUGAAGACGGAAAUUCAGCUGGAGAACAUCACGGCUGGAGAUGGCUCCUGCUGGGAGAGGGAAUGUGACAGAUGGCGUAAGAUAUAACAGUAAUCUUAGUGACAACGCACUAAGCGUCUCCCAGAAGAAGUUCAAGAUCGAUUCAUCUGCUUCCCAGCAGAAGCGAGUCUAACAGGCAGUGAAGCGUAAUCUUGAUAAUGUGACUGGCUGCUCCAAAAGGAGAAGGAAUUAACCAGGCUACCCUAAAUGUGUUUGCAUGACAUUCUUUUUUCUUUCUGUUACCUCAAGAAGAAUUUAAAAUCCCAUUUGUAUGGAAAUAAACUAAGCUCUGGAGUUCCCCUCCUGCUCUGGGGUGUCACCCCAGGAGGCCUGUGCAGACCUCCUCUGUGGCUACAUGGCUUCUCGGGCUUGGGCGCUGCAGCUGUAGUUUUUGUUGUCAAAGAAUAAAACACACUCUUGUCCCAACUGUGGAUUCUUUAGGGGCUGUGUCCAUUAAGGUUCUUUGACGGCAAACAAAGAAAACUGACUCUAGAUAGAGCAGCCCACUAUCCUUCCAAAAAGUUCUUUUUCCAUUGGAAUUAGUGGAAGAAGCAGCUGAGCAGGAGCACCAGGGAGCGGGAGUCCUGCGGUCUGCUGGGCGGCCUGGAAGGGCUGGGUGCAGGGCAGGCAAUGGGCGACAGCCUGGUCAGAGUCCAUUCAUUCCAACACCAGGCCCCGACUGAGGUUUGCAUUCUAGGACUACUUCACUCAAGAUUCAAAGUCCCAAGGAAGCGAGUUCAAUUGUCCACAUUUGGGUCACGUGCCCUCACCAGAUUGACACUCCCAAGAUUGUCCUCAGUGAGUGAGAAGAGGUUCCCAACAGAGAUACAAAGGUGCUGUGACCUAGAGAAGACACACUGGGUGGGCAACCACAGAGAACCCUAAACUUCUCAGAACUCAGGGCCACAGUUUUCAGCAUGUUGAAGUUCCGACGUUUUCCCUAACACAUUCCAACAACGUAGGAAAACUUUAGAAAAUGCAGUUCACACAGUGCCUGAUACAUAAUAAGCAAAUCAUAAUCAUCAUCUUCAUUAUUAUCAUCAAUGUUUAUUAUUUGGAAUAUCUGGCCAAGCCUUCAUGAAAGUGGGAUAUUUCCUGUGGCAGAAGGAGGACAUCUUGAAAUGGCCUAUUUUCUCUUCAGUAGAAGAAAUAACGAAGUGACUAACUGGGUUAUCAGUGGCACCUGUGUCUGAAGAGCGUGGCCUCCUGCUGCACCCAAACUGCUAUUGUUCACACCAUGCAGGCUGGGGAUCCACCAGGCACAGUGGGCACAGGGCCCAGGGCCCACAAUACUGUCAGUGACACACAAAAAUAUUUUUAAAAUCAGAAGGAAAAAAUGAACUUUUAAGUUUAAGAAAAUACUAUUAUGUAUUUGUCCCCAUACCAGGGCAGUUGUAACAUAGAAUUGCGACAGUUGCAGUGCAGCCCUG